UUGCGUUUAUGUUUCAUACUAAGUGUGUGCGAAGGUUGAAGCAAUGAAUCGGGAUAUAUUAACUGGCGUAUUGAUUGGGCUGCUGGUUGACGGUAAAAAUCAACCCCAGCGUC